CACCAUUGUUACAGGAUCUGGAAAAAACAAUGAAAUCAUGCAACACACAACUGACACAGGACAAAAGACUGGGAUCAGACCCCCUUCUGUGCCUCCUGUUUGAGAUAGACACACCCCAGGAACAGGUUGCUGCUGCGACUCUACAUGAAGUAUC